GACGGUGCCAGAGAGCUUGCUCUCGGGUGACGAGCGGCGGACGGGUGAGUAAUGUCUGGGAAACUGCCUGAUGGAGGGGGAUAACUACUGGAAACGGUAGCUAAUACCGCAUAACGUCGCAAGACCAAAGUGGGGGACCUUCGGGCCUCAUGCCAUCAGAUGUGCCCAGAUGGGAUUAGCUGGUAGGUGGGGUAACGGCUCACCUAGGCGACGAUCCCUAGCUGGUCUGAGAGGAUGACCAGCCACACUGGAACUGAGACACGGUCCAGACUCCUACGGGAGGCAGCAGUGGGGAAUAUUGCACAAUGGGCGCAAGCCUGAUGCAGCCAUGCCGCGUGUGUGAAGAAGGCCUUCGGGUUGUAAAGCACUUUCAGCGGGGAGGAAGGCGGUGAGGUUAAUAACCUUAUCGAUUGACGUUACCCGCAGAAGAAGCACCGGCUAACUCCGUGCCAGCAGCCGCGGUAAUACGGAGGGUGCAAGCGUUAAUCGGAAUUACUGGGCGUAAAGCGCACGCAGGCGGUCUGUCAAGUCGGAUGUGAAAUCCCCGGGCUCAACCUGGGAACUGCAUUCAAAACUGGCAGGCUAGAGUCUUGAAAGGGGGGUAAAAUUCCGGGUGACCGGGAAAUGCUA
rnacentral:rRNA from 1 species